rnacentral:rRNA from 1 species
UCGAACGGGGUAAUCCUUCGGGGGUUACUUAGUGGCGGACGGGUGAGUAACGCGUGGGUAACCUGCCUCAUACAGGGGGGAUAACAGUUAGAAAUGACUGCUAAUACCGCAUUAAGCGCACAGCAUCGCAUGAUGCAGUGUGAAAAGCCGAGACGGUAUGAGAUGGACCCGCGUCUGAUUAGCUAGUUGGNGGGGUAACGGCCCCACCAAGGCGACGAUCAGUAGCCGACCUGAGAGGGUGACCGGCCACAUUGGGACUGAGACACGGCCCAAACUCCUACGGGAGGCAGCAGUGGGGAAUAUUGCGCAAUGGGGGGAACCCUGACGCAGCAACGCCGCGUGCAGGAAGAAGGUCUUCGGAUUGUAAACUGUUGUCGCAAGGGAAGAAGACAGUGACGGUACCUUGUGAGAAAGUCACGGCUAACUACGUG